rnacentral:lncRNA from 1 species
GAUAAUUUACUAAAACUUAAAAGAAAUACACCACCCACACAUAGGAAGUGUGGGUGUGUCGCCUGGAACAAGGAGAAAAGAGGGGAAAACCCUCUUAUUCAACAAAUCAGUGAAAUUGGAAGGGAAAAUCAAAGUCUGAUUGUAUGCAUGAAUACCAAUCCUUGAUCACCUAAGAAUUUCCUGCAUAAGGGAUCAAGGAAGAAAGCUCGAGUCGUUCCGGGUCGCAAACAAACAACGACAAAGGUAAAGCGACUUAUUAAAUGGCGUUACUUGGAUCGAACACAUUCAUGAUGCACGCUUCCGUGAAGAAACUAGUUUUAGUCAAAACUUUUGUUAAAUGCUUUUCUUUUGUUCCAAACGGGUCUUUUGUAAGUUUUAUGAUCCGAAAGUAGUAGAUGUUGAACUUGUAGUUAAAAGACUAUGUUAGUAGUUUAUGUAAUGUUUGGGUUAAAAACUUUUGUAGUCGUUAUGUUGUUCGUUACCAAGUUAAAUGCAGAAUUUUGGUUUGUAAAUUAUUCGACCCGUUUACUUCUUUGUUAAAUGAAAGUUCGUUAGUGUCCUUUUUUAAGUUUUAGACCUUACAGCAUAUGUGUUCAUUUGUCAUCUCUAGCUAACUGAUAUAAUAUUAUUCGCAUAACAAUGACCGUUUUGAACUCUGAAAACGGUAUAGCAACAAUAUAAUAUACACGUGUUUCUGAAGUUUGACCGAGAUGACACAAUCGAAACUGGUUGACCGAGUUACAAAUACGAAUGUCAUAAACUGCGCAUUAUUGGCAACUAUACAUGUUCAAUAACAAGAACAUGAUGUGCACACACAUAAUUCUAGUUCUGUUUCCUGAAGAUCUCAGUAUUGGCCUGAUAUGCCAGAUAAAGUUCUUGUAUUUGCAUUUUCAACUAUGA